rnacentral:rRNA from 1 species
UACGGAGGGUGCAAGCGUUAAUCGGAAUUACUGGGCGUAAAGCGCACGUAGGUGGUAUGGUAAGUUGCCUGUGAAAGCCCCGGGCUUAACCUGGGAAUGUCAGGCAAAACUACCGAACUAGAGUACAGUAGAGGGGUGUGGAAUUUCCUGUGUAGCGGUGAAAUGCGUAGAGAUGGGAAGGAACACCAGUGGCGAAGGCGGCACCCUGGACUGAUACUGACACUGAGGAGCGAAAGCGUGGGGAGCAAACAGG